rnacentral:rRNA from 1 species
AUACGGGGGGUGCAAGCGUUGUUCGGAAUUAUUGGGCGUAAAGAGCGUGUAGGCGGCUAGGCAAGUCAGAUGUGAAAGCCCUGGGCUUAACCCAGGAAGUGCAUUUGAAACUGCUUAGCUUGAGUAGGGGAGAGGGAAGUGGAAUUCCUGGUGUAGAGGUGAAAUUCGUAGAUAUCAGGAGGAACACCGGUGGCGAAGGCGACUUCCUGGCCCUAUACUGACGCUGAGACGCGAGAGCGUGGGUAGCAAACAGGAUUAGAUACCCUGGUAGUCCACGCCGUAAACGAUGUUCACUAGGUGUUGGGGGUAUUGACCCUCUCAGUGCCGGAGCUAACGCAUUAAGUGAACCGCCUGGGGAGUACGGUCGCAAGACUAAA